rnacentral:rRNA from 1 species
AAUCAACGCUGGCGGCGUGCCUCAGACAUGCAAGUCGAACGCGAAAGUCCCCUUCGGGGGGCAAGUAGAGUGGCGCACGGGUGAGUAACACGUAGGUAAUCUACCUUUGGAUGGGGAAUAACAACCGGAAACGGUUGCUAAUACCGCAUAAUGCAGCGGCACCUAAUGGUGACAGUUGUUAAAGCGGGGGAUCGAAAGACCUCGCGUCUGAAGAGGAGCCUGCGGCGGAUUAGCUAGUUGGAAGGUAACGGCUUACCAAGGCGACGAUCCGUAGCCGGCCUGAGAGGGCGGUCGGCCACACUGGGACUGAGACACGGCCCAGACUCCUACGGGAGGCAGCAGUGGGGAAUCUUGGACAAUGGGCGCAAGCCUGAUCCAGCCAUGCCGCGUGAGUGAAGAAGGCCUUAGGGUGUAAAGCUCUUUUACCAGGGACGAUAAUGACGGUACCUGGAGAAUAAGCCCGGCAAACUUCGUGCCAGCCGCCGCAGUAAG